rnacentral:rRNA from 1 species
UACAUGGGGUGCAAACGUUGCUCGGAAUUAUUGGGCGUAAAGCGCACGUAGGCGGUUUGUUAUGUCGGAUGUGAAAGCCCUUGGCUCAACUGAGGAAGUGCAUCCGAAACUGGCAAGCUAGAGUAUGUAAGAGGGUCGCGGAAUUCCCGGUGUAGAGGUGAAAUGCGCAGAUAUCAGGAGGAACACCGGUGGCGAAGGCGGGUCUCUGGGCCGGUACCGACGCUGAGGAGCGAAAGCGUGGGGAGCGAACAGG